rnacentral:rRNA from 1 species
UACGUAGGGUGCAAGCGUUAAUCGGAAUUACUGGGCGUAAAGCGUGCGCAGGCGGUUUCGUAAGUCUGUCGUGAAAUCCCCGGGCUUAACCUGGGAAUGGCGAUGGAGACUGCGAGGCUAGAGUUUGGCAGAGGGGGGUGGAAUUCCACGUGUAGCAGUGAAAUGCGUAGAGAUGUGGAGGAACACCGAUGGCGAAGGCAGCCCCCUGGGCUAACACUGACGCUCAUGCACGAAAGCGUGGGGAUCAAACAGG